AGAGAAAGAAAGAAGCCAAUAAGAAGAAAAGGGAUAAAUAUCAGAGAUCCAGAGAGUGAGAAGAGAAUAGAAGAUGAAUAUCCAUACUCCUAUUACCAUUCCAUCCAUGUUUUGUUUUGUUUUGUUUUGUUGUUUUUGUUU
rnacentral:ribozyme from 13 species